rnacentral:rRNA from 1 species
GACGAACGCUGGCGGCAUGCCUAACACAUGCAAGUCGAACGGAGAAUGUCAAAUGAAGUUUUCGGAUGGAUUUUGAUAUUCUUAGUGGCGGACGGGUGAGUAACGCGUGAGCAACCUGCCUUUCAGUGGGGGACAACAGUUGGAAACGACUGCUAAUACCGCAUAAUGUAUACGGAUCGCAUGGUCUGUAUACCAAAGAUUUAUCGCUGAAAGAUGGGCUCGCGUAUGAUUAGAUAGUUGGUGAGGUAACGGCUCACCAAGUCGACGAUCAUUAGCCGGACUGAGAGGUUGAACGGCCACAUUGGGACUGAGACACGGCCCAGACUCCUACGGGAGGCAGCAGUGAGGAAUAUUGGGCAAUGGGCGCAAGCCUGACCCAGCAAUGCCGCGUGAAGGAUGAAGGUUUUCGGAUUGUAAACUUCUUUUGUCAAGGACGAUAAUGACGGUACUUGACGAAUAAGCCACGGCUAACUACGUGCCAGCAG